rnacentral:rRNA from 1 species
AACGGAGAGUUUGAUCCUGGCUCAGGAUGAACGCUGGCGGCGUGCUUAAUACAUGCAAGUCGAACGGACAUAGCAAUAUGUUAGUGGCGACCGGGUGCGUAACACGUAGUUGACCUGCCCCUCAGCGGGGGACAACAGUCCGAAAGGAUUGCUAAUACCGCAUGAACUUUGGGGAUUUAGAAAGCCCAAAGGAAACUUCUGGGGCUGAGGGAGGGGACUGCGGCCCAUCAGGUAGUUGGAGAGGUAACAGCUCACCAAGCCGACGACGGGUAGGGGGCCUGAGAGGGUGACCCCCCACACUGGGACUGACACACGGCCCAGACUCCUACGGGAGGCAGCAGUAAGGGAUAUUGGGCAAUGGGCGAAAGCCUGACCCAGCAACGCCGCGUGGAGGAAGAAGGGCUUCGGCUCGUAAACUCCUUUUAGGGGGGACGAGAAAGGACGGUACUCCCUGAAUAAGUCACGGCUAACUACGUGCCAGCAGCCGCGGUAAAACGUAGGUGACAAGCGUUAUCCGGAUUUACUGGGCGUAAAGCGUGUGCAGGCUGUGCUUCAAGUGGUGUAUGAAAGCGCUCGGCUUAACCGGGCAAGGUUAUGCCAGACUGAAGUGCUAGAGGCGGAAAGAGGGACGUGGAAUUCCGGGUGUAGUGGUGAAAUGCGUAGAGAUCCGGAGGAACACCAGAGGCGAAGGCGGCGUCCUAGUUCUGGCCUGACGCUCAGACACGAAAGCAUGGGGAGCGAACGGGAUUAGAAACCCCGGUAGUCCAUGCCGUAAACGAUGCAGACUAGGCGUUGGGGGCGUGAAGCCCUCGGUGCCGAAGCAAACGCGCUAAGUCUGCCGCCUGGGGACUACGACCGCAAGGUUAAAACUCAAAGGAAUUGACGGGGGCCCGCACAAGCAGCGGAGCGUGUGGUUUAAUUCGAGGCUACACGAAGAACCUUACCUAGGUUUGACAUGGGAGUGGUAGGGAAGCGAAAGCGGACCGACCCUUCGGGGAGCUUCCACAGGUGCUGCAUGGCUGUCGUCAGCUCGUGCCGUGAGGUGUUAGGUUAAGUCCUGUAACGAGCGCAACCCUCAGAAGUAGUUACACGGUGUCUACUUCGACUGCCCGCGAUAAGCUGGGAGGAAGGCGGGGAUGAUGUCAAGUCAGCAUGGCCUUUAUAUCUAGGGCUACACACACGCUACAAUGGCCGGUACAAUGGGUCGCCAAGUGGUAACACGGAGCCAAUCCAGACAAAGCCGGUCUCAGUUCGGAUUGUGGGCUGCAACCCGCCCACAUGAAGUCGGAGUUGCUAGUAACCGCCGGUCAGCCAUACGGCGGUGAAUACGUUCCCGGGCCUUGUACACACCGCCCGUCACGUCAUGGGAGCUGGUCACGCCUGAAGCCGGUGGGCUAACUGAAAAGAGGCAGCCGUCUAAGGCAGGGCCGGUGACUGGGACGAAGUCGUAACAAGGUAGCUGUAGCGGAAGCUGCGGCUGGAUCACCUCCUUU